UAAAUACCGGGUCCCGUACGACGACCGAAGUUAAGCAACGUCGAGCCUGGUCAGUACCUAGAUGGGUGACCAUUUCGGAAUACCU
rnacentral:rRNA from 1 species